UGAUAUAUUUUGUUCAAUAGAUGUGAAGCACAUCUUGCGCACCAGCCCCUAAACCUACUCUAUUUUUGUUGGCUGCUGCAUAAUAUGGGCGUUCUUGUUACAGUCGUGUCAACACUGUAGGAAAUAUUAACCAAGGAAGGAAAGGAGCGAAAAGAAGAUGAAGUUCAGGCCAUUGAGAACAGAAAUUUUCAGAAGAGGAGCUCAAAGGAAAGAGAUUAUUAGAUUUCUUGAUAUUGCAUUAGCAACAUCUAACAAAUGACCGAUUCGCUGGCAAUGUUGGAGCACUGUAGAUUGAAUGGUCAUGUAGCUUUCUUCUAAUUGUUAGCUAUGUUCCAUUUGUUUUGGGCCUUUGGCGGUGUCCUCAUGUGAGGAUGUGUUAGGGAAUGCUUAUUUGUAUGGUUGUAGUUUAGAUAUCUGCCAUUGCCUUAUUUCCAUUUUCUUUAAUAGAACUUUCAUCGUUUAUAACAAAAAAAUAAUAAUAAUAAUAAUAAAUGGUAAUUAUUCUUUCAAAAAAUAUUUUUCUUCAUUAUUUUCUAUGAGGCAUGAUAGCAACACAUUAUCUAUGGUUCGUAAUUCAUAAAUGAAAAAAAAAAAACAUGGAGGAAUAUGCAGAAUACAAAGAAACAAAGUUUAAUCGAUACCUUAUAUUUAAUUGAGAUUAAUAAAGUUAAAACAAAGCAUAAACAACAUAAAAACAAUUAUUUUGGGGAAACAAACAUUACGUUUGAUAGACCAUAAUACAAUAAAA